ACAGCCAAGCAGAUUGGGGGUGCACUACUAUUGGUGCAGUUGUGGGCGUGGGCGAGGUUUCCCCACAUAUGUCCUGUGAUGAGGCAUCCACACCAGGCACUGCCUCCAAGUCCACUUGCUGUCAGAUGGAAAGGGGCUAAGAUAACAACUGAACAUUCGAUGCACGUCCUACGUGCCUAUCGUGUGUCGCUUACUUCACUGCGGCCAAAUCAGAUUGUUUGGGAGCCGUACAGAAAUUAUUUGUGUUCUCUACCCGCAUAUUGUACGGCAGGCCAACGUAUAUGGAGGUCUAUUG